ACGUGGCCGCCGGCCAGUGGCGAGGCGCCGGCCACACUUCCCGUCGGGGAGAGAGUGUAAUAUGGCGAAGACCUACGAUUACCUGUUCAAGCUGCUGCUGAUCGGGGACUCGGGUGUGGGGAAGACCUGUGUCCUGUUCCGCUUCUCGGAGGACGCCUUCAACUCCACGUUCAUCUCCACCAUAGGAAUCGACUUUAAAAUCCGCACCAUAGAGCUCGAUGGUAAGAGGAUCAAACUGCAGAUAUGGGACACGGCGGGGCAGGAGCGUUUCCGGACCAUCACCACGGCCUACUACCGUGGAGCCAUGGGCAUCAUGCUGGUCUACGACAUCACCAACGAGAAAUCCUUCGACAACAUUCGCAACUGGAUCCGCAACAUCGAGGAGCAUGCUUCUGCAGACGUGGAGAAGAUGAUCCUUGGGAACAAGUGUGACGUGAACGACAAGCGACAAGUGUCCAAGGAGCGGGGAGAAAAGCUGGCCCUCGACUACGGGAUCAAGUUCAUGGAGACCAGUGCCAAAGCGAACAUUAAUGUGGAGAACGCAUUUUUCACUCUCGCCAGAGACAUCAAAGCAAAAAUGGACAAAAAAUUGGUGAGGCAAUAGCCCGCAGGGCAGCAGCCAGGGUGUGCGGAUCACGGCUGAGCAGCAGCGGAGAAGCGGCUUCUUCCGGUGCAUCCUCCUGUGAGUCGCCGGCGCCGUGCGCCCAGCCCUGCCGGGACAGCAGCUCCGUGUGGGAC